UUGCCCCAAAUGAUGAAAGGACAACGAGAUGGAGGAGACAAGUGUUUUCAGCUUACUCAGAGUGCCAUCAGCUGAUUAAAAACAAACAAACAAACAAACAAAACAAAACAAAACAAAAAACAGCAAAGGCAACAAUAACAAAAGGUUUGAAUAUAUCUGCAGCAAGCUAUGAUCAUUGUCAAAAAUAAAUUAAAAAAAAAAUCGAUAACAACAAUGUGCCAAUGUAGCAGACAGGCUUCAGUUCUGGGUAAUCAGCCUCCUGUCAGCUGUUAGUGAGUGAGGGUUGGCAGCCUUGCCCUCAGUGCUGAUGGACGACCCUAUAAAUCUGGAGAAAAGGGCCAGGUGUGGUUCUGAAGGGCCUUUUUUGUUCAGAGUGGCAGAAGAGAUGUCUCCAGGCGUGUACUGGAAGUAGGGCUGUGCCUUUGUCGAGUGCAGCCACAAAUGCAGACCUGGAGUGUCCGAUAGCAUGAGGCUUAAGCAGAGCAGCAGUCUUCAGAGAGCUGGUGUUUCGAUUGCUGUGGGAGGAUGGCAUUGACGGGGUGCCAGUGCUGUAGCUGGCACCAGCUAACCACUGCAUCUGUGGGCAAGGGAAUUGGUUUACAAAGGAGGAGCAGAAUAUCACCACAAGUGUGUGGGGCCUACCACUUUUGACACGGGGAGCUGUCAGGCCGCAGGGCCUGUGAAGCCUGGCUCUGGCACCAGAGGGCAUGCUGGCCUACACAGCUGCCUGGCGCUGCUUUGCUAACUAAAUCUACCUGAAAAUUUUCCACUGAAAUUAGUUUUCAAGGAAAUUCUUUGCUUUUUAUUAUUUAUUUUCCUUUAAGAAAUAGCUACCUUAUUAUGAAAGCCUUUGGAGAAGGUUCACUUACACUUUUUUUUUCCCAAAGCUUGCAGGUCUGCUGCAGGGGGUGAGGGGCUGAAACAUUUUUUAAGUUGCUUGGAAAAGUUCUGCAAAAACCUGUGGUUGCUCUUGUAUUUUUCGAGGGGAAGGAGGGGGGGAACACAGAGCAGAUCUAAUUGCAAAACCUGUGGGUUUUGUGACCCUCUCCUUGGGGGAGGAGAGGCUGAAAGAGACAGUGGGACGGGGUGAAGUUGAGAAGUAUGUGGAUGAUAAUCCUCUCCGUGGGAGCGCUCUGGCAGAGGGGCUGUCUGAGGAGCAGCUAUAUUACCAGCCGUCCUUUCCAAGGGAAAUGCUGGAGGGUGCCAAAGCAAACAGAGGCGUGAAGGCAGGUCCUGCACGCAGAGGGGUAGGUGCGGAGGCUCGCACUGCGGGGAUGGCAGCUGAUAAACAGCCGCACACAGGCGAGCACACACAGGCACGCACCGGGCAUCAGGCACCAGGGAAAACCCGGGGUGUUUUUCCACAGUAUUUGCCAGUUGGCAGCUGCAGAAGUACUUCGUAAACAUCAGCUGCUGAAGGUUAAAGCACACAGAAACUCAUCAUUUUGCAAGGCAGGAGAGGAGCACUGUUUCCCUUCUGCACGCAGGAGGCAGAGAUGGAAAGCCCUGCUCUAAAGCCCUGCUCUAAGUCAAUGCUUCUGUGUGCACGGUUAUUAGCUGCUCUGCUUUUCCAAGCUCAGUUCCUGCAGCUCCAAAUCACUUCACUUGGGAUGAAGGGAGCCAAUUUUAAUAUUUUUGGCAUAUAUGCCAUGUCUGGGCACUUGGCAGUGUUGGUGGCAGCACGGGGAGCAGCAGAGAUGGCCAGACUCCUGCCCCCCAGCAGGUUGUACGUUUGUAUGUCUGUCUGCAGAGGAGGGACAUGCAGAGAGCACUCUGGUCAAUACCAACUGUCUUGCAGACCCUGUGAGAUGAGGACUGGUUAUCUCCUAUUUAGCCUGGCAGCAAGCACCCUGGCUGUGUUCCACAAGCAGAAGUUAGAGCAAACCCUGCCAUGGCUGCUGCAGGCAAAAUGAGAGCUGAGCGUUCAGGGCCAGUCCCCCUCCUCGGCCUCUGCAGGGUCUGUCAGCUCGUCCAGUUGUGCUUAGGGUUUUUUUGUUU